AAUCAAAUAAAAAUCUGCGGCGGGAGCGUAGAGUAGCCCGUGCAUUCCAUUCCAAGGCCUCUGUGUGCCCGCGGAGUAGCCAUCAUGAGCAAAGCUCACCCUCCCGAGUUGAAAAAAUUUAUGGACAAGAAGUUAUCAUUGAAAUUAAAUGGUGGCAGACAUGCCCAAGGAAUAUUGCGGGGAUUUGAUCCCUUUAUGAAUCUUGUGAUAGAUGAAUGUGUGGAGAUGGCGACUAGCGGACAACAGAACAAUAUUGGAAUGGUGGUAAUACGAGGAAAUAGCAUCAUCAUGUUAGAAGCCUUGGAACGAGUAUAAAUAAUGGCUGUUCAGCGGAGAAACCCAUGUCCUCUCUCCAUAGGGCCUGUUUUACUAUGAUGUAAAAAUUAGGUCAUGUACAUUUUCAUAUUAGACUUUUUGCUAAAUAAACUUUUGUAAUAGUCAAAAAAAAAAAAAAAA